rnacentral:piRNA from 1 species
CCUGUGAUGGUAAAAGUAAGUGC